rnacentral:rRNA from 1 species
UACGUAGGUGACCAGCGUUGUCCGGAUUUACUGGGCGUAAAGAGCGCGCAGGCGGUCGUUCAAGUCGAGUGUGAAAGCCCCCGGCUCAACUGGGGAGGGUCACUCGAUACUGAUCGACUUGAAGGCAGGAGAGGGAAGCGGAAUUCCCGGUGUAGUGGUGAAAUGCGUAGAUAUCGGGAGGAACACCAGUGGCGAAGGCGGCUUCCUGGCCUGUUCUUGACGCUGAGGCGCGAAAGCUAGGGGAGCGAACAGG